GAGGCUUGCUUCUUAUGAAAGUGGCGCACGGGUGCGUAACGCGUAUGCAACCUACCUUAAUCAGGGGGAUAGCCCGAAGAAAUUCGGAUUAAGACCGCAUAAAAACACAGGAUAGCAUUAUCCAAUGUUCAAAUAUUUAUAGGAUUAAGAUGGGCAUGCGUGUCAUUAGCUAGUUGGCGGGGUAACGGCCCACCAAGGCGACGAUGACUAGGGGAUCUGAGAGGAUGACCCCCCACACUGGUACUGAGACACGGACCAGACUCCUACGGGAGGCAGCAGUAAGGAAUAUUGGUCAAUGGAGGGAACUCUGAACCAGCCAUGCCGCGUGCAGGAAGACAGCCCUCUGGGUCGUAAACUGCUUUUAUUCGGGAAUAAACCUUUCUACGUGUAGGAAGCUGAAUGUACCGAAGGAAUAAGGAUCGGCUAACUCCGUGCCAGCAGCCGCGGUAAUACGGAGGAUCCAAGCGUUAUCCGGAUUUAUUGGGUUUAAAGGGUGCGUAGGCGGCUUAUUAAGUCAGGGGUGAAAGACGGUGGCUCAACCAUCGCAGUGCCCUUGAUACUGAUGAGCUUGAAUACACUAGAGGUAGGCGGAAUGUGACAAGUAGCGGUGAAAUGCAUAGAUAUGUCACAGAACACCGAUUGCGAAGGCAGCUUACUAUGGUGUUAUUGACGCUGAGGCACGA
rnacentral:rRNA from 1 species